rnacentral:rRNA from 1 species
CCCGUAAUCCGGGUUGCGGACAGUGUCUGGUGGGUAGUUUGACUGGGGCGGUCUCCUCCUAAAGAGUAACGGAGGAGCACGAAGGUUGGCUAAUCCUGGUCGGACAUCAGGAGGUUAGUGCAAUGGCAUAAGCCAGCUUGACUGCGAGCGUGACGGCGCGAGCAGGUGCGAAAGCAGGUCAUAGUGAUCCGGUGGUUCUGAAUGGAAGGGCCAUCGCUCAACGGAUAAAAGGUACUCCGGGGAUAACAGGCUGAUACCGCCCAAGAGUUCAUAUCGACGGCGGUGUUUGGCACCUCGAUGUCGGCUCAUCACAUCCUGGGGCUGAAGUAGGUCCCAAGGGUAUGGCUGUUCGCCAUUUAAAGUGGUACGCGAGCUGGGUUUAGAACGUCGUGAGACAGUUCGGUCCCUAUCUGCCGUGGGCGCUGGAGAAUUGAGGGGGGCUGCUCCUAGUACGAGAGGACCGGAGUGGACGCAUCACUGGUGUUCGGGUUGUCAUGCCAAUGGCACUGCCCGGUAGCUAAAUGCGGAAGAGAUAAGUGCUGAAAGCAUCUAAGCACGAAACUUGCCCCGAGAUGAGUUCUCCCUGACUCCUUGAGAGUCCUGAAGGAACGUUGAAGACGACGACGUUGAUAGGCCGGGUGUGUAAGCGCAGCGAUGCGUUGAGCUAACCGGUACUAAUGAACCGUGAGGCUUAACCUUACAACGCCGAAG